rnacentral:lncRNA from 1 species
CUUUUAAGCAGGCAUUUUCUUAUCCUUAAAACCUCUUUGAAAACCUAUAUAAAUGAAUAUUUGUGUGUUUAGAGUGUGAUUGGAGCCCACCUGUAUAUAGUAACUUGGCAAGAAAAGUCCUUGUUAAGGAAGUUACAGAAAACACAAUGGUCACUUCAGCUUACAUACUUAGUAGGCACAACAUGAUGAUUUGAUUUUUAUGCAGACGAUACACAGUUAUAUUUUCUGUAAAUAUACCUUUUCUUGGAGUUUUGCUGUACUAAAAGAUUGCAGUGAGAACGGAAAGCAUUUGAUAUUAUUUGAGAGUAUUUGAAACUCUGACAACUUAUUCUGGCUUAAUGCGAGUAGGACAGAAAUAAUUAAAUUUAACUUAAACUUAAUUGUAAGCCUUCUCACAGACUCAAAGUCACCUUCAUAUACUUUGAUUCAAAUCUGACCUGAAAAACAAGAGUAACUUGUCUAAGUCAUUCUUGUUUUUGUAAGUCUGGGACCAUACCUAAAAUCAAACCUCUUUUGUCUGCUGCUCACCUGGAAAAGCUUGACCGCUGUUCAAUAUUUGUCAAAUGCUACAUAAAUAACGUUAAUGUGUGUUAUUAAUUGAUUAUUGUCGUUUCUCUUUAGCAAUUGUGGUAACCUGAAUUUCUCAUGGCGUAAUGAGUGCAACCAGUGCAAGGCUCCUAAACCUGCAGAUGCUGGUGGAAUGCCCCCAGCGGAAAGAGGAGGUUAUGGAGGAGAACGCCGAGGAGGGUUUGAUCGGGGUGGCUUCAGGGGCCGAGGUGGUGACCGUGGGGGCUUCAGGGGAGGCCGGGGAGGUGACAGGGGAGGAUAUGGUCCUGGCAAGAUGGACGCAAGGGGUGACCGCAGACAGGAGCGACGGGGGCGUCCUUAUUAAAUCAAGCUGCAAGGAAAAACCAGUGUGUGUAACCCUGUCCAUACUGGGCUCACAUGUUCACCUUUUUAUAAAUCUGUGGUACCUUUUGAUCUAUGAUUCAGCCUGUAGAAAUAUGUGACUAUUACUACUACUGCUGCUACUUUUUUGUGUUUGCUUUUGUUCCUGUCACUUAUUUCCUUAACAUCCAUCCACACUGUCUUCUUGUUCUCAGUAGGGCCUCAAUCACAAAAAAAUCUCAGAAUUAAUUCCCAUCUGUUACUUUUUAUGACUUGAUACUGUUUUGUUCACUUGGAUAUGAUAUGUCACUUACCAGCAACAUUAGUGGGAACAGUCGAGACAAAUUCCAAACAAGUUAGGAUGAAUCUGUUUCUGCUAAAUUUUGUUAGCCGGCUUGAAUGAAGUACAUCUUUAACACUUGAUUGUUCACAUUCAAAUGAAACAUUUACUCAUUAACCACAUAAACGCAUUGAAAUAAAUAUAGAUUAUCUCACUCUUGGCAGAAUGAGCUGGCCUUCAUGUUUUAAGUGAAAACAGUCACUGUCCAAACUGACACCAAACUGUCACUGUAUAGCUUGUGUUUUUACUAUUUUGAGACUCUUUUGUAAAUUUGUGUCUUCAAAUGUAAGCAAUGAAGUUAGUAAGUUAAGUGUUAAACUACAAUAAUAACUCAAUUUCUACAGAACUUUUCUAAACAGUGUUACAAAGUGCUUAAGAGUCAAAUAAAGUCAAAUUGCAGUAUUAAAUUAGAGAAUCAUUGUACCUCAAUAAAUGUAAUAAGAAAAUGAUUGACAGCAUGAGGUAUAAGAUUAACCCAGUAAUACCAAGUUUAAAUGAAAGAACAGUGAGAUUUAGAAAGUGAUUUAUAAGAACUUACAGAGACAAUUCCAAAGCUGAAUUUGAUCUGAUUUCCUAAAGUUCGAAACCUCACAGCAACGUUUUGAAUAUGCUUAUGAUAAGCAAGAGUGUUAAGAGAGUUCCAGUGACAAGUAAGAGGAAAUGAGGAAUGACCAAGUUGAGCUGCCACAUGUGACCUUCACUGCUGGUAAUUCAUUUCACAAGAUCCAUUUAUUUACUUUAUACUUAAGUCUUAGAAUGUCAUGGGGAAAUAAUCUGAAGGUUGUGAUCAAGUUAAAUCCACUUUUCUAAAUGAGGUCUAAUAUCUCUGCAAAAUUUAAAAAAUUUGUAAAGACUGACACUGAACUUUAGAUGAUGUAUUAUUUAUGAGUUGUUUUUGUAUUUUGCAUGUGCUGGUUUUCAAAUGAACGUGUUGUUAAAAC